UUAAACGUCCAUACGUUUAAUACACCGGUUCUCGUCCGAUCACCGAAGUUAAGCUACGUCGAGCGCGGUCAGUACUUGGAUGGGUGAGCACUUGGGACACCGCAUGACGUUGGCU
rnacentral:rRNA from 1 species